ACUCCUACGGGAGGCAGCAGUGGGGAAUAUUGGGCAAUGGGGGAAACCCUGACCCAGCAACGCCGCGUGAAGGAAGAAGGUCUUCGGAUCGUAAACUUCUAUCCUUGGUGAAGAUAAUGACGGUAGCCGAGAAGGAAGCCCCGGCUAACUACGUGCCAGCAGCCGCGGUAAUACGUAGGGGGCAAGCGUUGUCCGGAAUGAUUGGGCGUAAAGGGCGCGUAGGCGGCCUGGUAAGUCUGGAGUGAAAGUCCUGCUUUUAAGGUGGGAAUUGCUUUGGAUACUGCUGGGCUUGAGUGCAGGAGAGGUAAGUGGAAUUCCCGGUGUAGCGGUGAAAUGCGUAGAGAUCGGGAGGAACACCAGUGGCGAAGGCGACUUACUGGACUGUAACUGACGCUGAGGCGCGAAAGUGUGGGGAGCAAACAGGAUUAGAUACCCUGGUAGUC
rnacentral:rRNA from 1 species